GAGGGGCGGAGCCGGCACAGCGCCCCCGCCCGGCGCGCCGCCUUGUCCGGAGUCCAGCGUCCGCUUGUCGGGUCCCGAGCCGGCCGGCCCCGGAGUCAAGCGAGCUAGAAGGGGACGGCUCAGGCUGCCUGAGGUGCUAAGCGCCACCCAACCGCCCCUUUCCGGGUGGGUGCCCCGCAUCACCUGAACGGGGUCAGGCUGUGGGACCCAAGGUGCGAGCAGCCUCUCCCACGCUAACCGCCCCCCCCCCGGGGUCCCCCGCUCACCUGUCCACACUGUGGCGGACCCGGGGACCACGGACAGCUGGGCCAUGCUGGCGCCCCGCCGCGCUCGCCGCGGCUCUCCUCGGCCUUCGCGUCCCCUCCCGGGCUCCCGGCGCCCUCUGCCCAGGGCACGGGAAGGCCAGCGGCAAGCUCCGAAGGUGGGAGGGCUCGGAUUUCUUCAACUUCAGAUCGGUCCCCUCCCACUGGACCACGUGACUGGAGAGAGGGCAGCUCGUGUGGACUGGCUGGAGCCGGCUUUCUCGGGACCCUCCUCUUCCUGACACCCUGUGCCCUCAGCAGGACCCCUGCGAGGCCCAGUGUUGGGGAGGGUCCCCGCCUCCACGGAACGCACGCGAUCGGAGCCCUGCACCUCCCGGGAGCAUCCACAGAGAAGCACUAGUGUUUCUCAGCCAGCGCUAGGGCGUACCUUCCGGAGGGUCUGCCACCGGUCUCCCCGGCAUCCUUGUGGGAGCAUUUGGACCCCCGUAUUUCUUCGUGAAUCGAUCUCAUACUUUCAAGCCAUUCUUAUGGGUUCUGACCUCAUCGUUGUGACUGGAUACAAGCCAGGGUGAAUGGCUGAGACCUGCUCGAGGGCUUCCUGAGGACUCCCUGGCUGGGCUUGGCUCCUGUUCUCUGCCAGAGUCAUCUCAAGCAACCACCUCCAAAGGCUUCGGUGGCCACGGUGAGAAAGACCCGCGUUCUUGCUUGAUGUGGCCUCACCUACCCCUCCUCUCUGUACUUAGCCUCAUGAGCCUUCUAGUUCCCUGGGCGAGCCGUGGUCCCUCUGGCCAAAUGGCCUGCCCUUGCAUACCCUGCUUCCUCUGCAUGGAGUGCCCCCACCUACCCUCUUCCAGACCUCAGCUCCGCCAUCAUUUCUUCAGGCAAGUCUUCUCUGAGCUUCCAGAAUGGGUCCGUUCUCCCUACUUGUCCUAGACAUUUCACUCUGGUGGAGGGGCACUGGCCAUUUGUCCCCUUCACUGAUUACAAAGCCCAAGAAGGUUGACUGAGACCCUUUUAUGCUCACCGUUGAAUCCCUAAUAUGUAGAAGCUUCUCUAUAAAUACUAGUAUAAGCACAGCAAGAAAUUAAGGCUGUGCCCGAGGAAGUCAAGAGGCAGAGCUAGGGUCUGCUCCUGGAAUCUGUGGGUUUCCCACAGCCGGAAAGGGCUGGCCUGAACCUCACGCACCUGCUUCUUUUCCUGUAUUCUGCCUUCGGCAGUGCCCCAGUUUCAGAGGGCACAGACUGCUGGUGGGAAACCCUGCAGCUCUCGCUUCUGGCUUCAAGGACACCCCAGGGCUGGAUUCCUCUCUGCUCCCCACCCUGUGCUCUCCCCCCCACACGGAGGGCAGGGGCCCCGGGAGGCGGUGGGAUUGCUGCUCACCUUCCAGUCUCCUGGCGCUUCCAGCAGUGAACAAAUGUGGCUCCCUGGCCUCUUGCCUGGAUCCCUGCCUGGUCACUCCUCCAGGCAUGGGCCGCUAAGGGGACGGUGAAAGACAGUUUUGCCUUGUCUCUCAAGGACAAGUGCUCUGAACUUGGCAGAGCGUCAGGACAGGCCCAGCAGUGCAGGCCCCUGGGGCUUGGGCUGGGACAGCUACUUUCCGCAGGGAGGAAGCCAGGCAGCUGGAGGCUCUGGGAAGGAGUAGCUGAAAUGCCCAUUCCCCGGGCGGCUCCCAUUCAUUCUUCUGGCUGAGGAUGUCCCAACAGAAGAAAGGGGCUCUUUGCACAGCUAGAUCCCUCUGGGAACACCAGGACGCGGAGUCUGUCUGGCUGAACUGGAAUUUGGCCAUAUCAAGUGUUGCUGAAAAAUCAAACGGGGCCUGCCUGGCACUGGGAUUCUUUUUGUGAAUUCAGAGCCCUUUACUGCAGUGGGGUUUGUGUUCUGCAAUUGGAUCUGUGGCCAGAAUACCAGCUGGUUCCCUCACCUGUCAGACACCUUCUACCAGACUGGUACCAUCGCCGCCCCUAAGCAUGGGACAGUGUGGUGCGCCCCCCCCCCCAACCACACACACACUGAGUUUCUGCAGACUGCAGCUAGCUGCCCUGUUCAAAGAGGGUCACCCAGGGUGGUUUAUCCAGUUCACCCAAAUGACCUUGAGCAAGUUGCAUUGUGCCUCAGUUUUCACAUCUGUAAAAUGGGUGCAGUGAGACUGUAUAUACGACUGGGCUUUGUAAACUCUGAAGGGCUACACCAACAGAAAAGAUUAUUAUUCAUUCUCUGUCUGACCGACCUCCCCUGUCCCAGUGAUCCUUCUUGGAGGAAACAUAAUAGAUGUAUUAAAUGCACAGGCUCUGGAGUCCAGUACACAAGGCUUGAAUCCCUGCUGUGCCACUUAGUAGCCACGUAGCUAGUAAGUCCCUUCAGCACUGUGAGCUGUCAGUUCCUUGUCUAGAAAACAGUACAAGUGACAUCUCUACCUCAGGACUGCUGUGAGGAUUACACGGAGUCAUACCCAGAGUGCACUGUGUGGGUGCCUGCAGCAUGGGCUCCUUAUCUGGGACAGCCUCGGGAAAACCUGCAGGUUGCUGUGCCCUCAGAGUGGGCUCAGCCUGGGCUUCUCCAAGUCUCCCUUCCAGACAGCUAGGAUGUGGGCAUCUUCGUGUUCGCUGCGGCUUAGGCCUCCUGAGGCAGGGGCUGGCCAGCUUUCUCCCUCUCCCUGAUGUCUCUGGAUCCUGGAUUUAAUCCUGGAUUUACCGUGUCAAGUGGCUCCUUGCUGAAGUUCUCUGCAUCCCACCUUGGCUGUUGUAGAGCAUCUGUGCUUGAAAACCAUACUAGACAAGCCAGUGCCUUCUCUGUUAGGAGUUUGUUCAUGUUACUCUGCCUAGGAGUGACAGAAACCCUACUGGAAAUUCUUUAAGUGAAAAUGCAAAAUUUUGGUCUGCUUAAUUUAGAAGUGUAGGGGCUCCAGGCACAGCUGGAUCCAGGAACUCAAAUGACAUUGUCACAGUGGGUCAGCAUGGAUGCCCUGUGGGCAGGCUCGCUCUGUCUGCUGGCUGUCAGCAGCUCCAGGUUUAUAGCCUGUUCUCCCAACAACACUCCUUUGGGUCUUCAGCUACCACAGAGACCUUUAGGAUUGGGCUGUGAGGCUAGGAGGCCAGAAGAGUAAAAAAGACAGAGCAUAACAGGGGGCAGUGGGAGGGAGAGGCUGCCACAAGGCUAUCUUCCCCUCUCCUUCCCCACCAAGGCCUUUUGCCCUGGCCAUACCCUGGAAGUUAGACGGCCACUCCCCAGGCCUUCUUCGCUCACUGCCCCCUUCCUUAUAGCUACAGAGCCCUCUUGCUCCUCCAGCGUCCCUACUCCCUCGACUCCCUUUGGCAGGAAGAUCCUUCAGACAGUUGUCCACUGCAGGUGCCAGAUGUGUGCCAGGCUUUCUGGCUGCACGGUGCCCAGCCCUCAGGGCUGUGUCUGCUCUGGCAGAUCCAAGCAGAGCGAGGAGCCGUGGUUCCCAGCCCCACCGAGGCCUCCAACGGUGGGGCGGGUGGCAGCCCUGCUGCUGCUUCCCAAAGCUGGCUGGGUCUUUGGCGCCAUCACUGUCAGCAGUGGUUUAGCUCCACUUCCUGGGAUGAGGGCAAGCUUUGACCUCGUGUCCGACAGCAAAAGAGGAAUGGGAAAGCAUUCUGAGGCAGGAGCGUCCGGAGGAAGCUGGGGAGGGAGGAGACGAGGUUUGUCCUUGAAUCCAGCUCUGUCCCUGACUUGGCCAAGCUGCUGACGCUCUCUGCACCUCAGUUUACCCACGUGGCAGGGCUCUGUGGCUUACAUAAGAUAACAUGAGAAACAGCACCCCACACAACGCGGGCCCUCAAAAACCAUGGCUCGUGCUCUCGUUUCCCUCCCUCUGACGUUGGUAGAGAGCCUGGAGGAAGAGGGGCCCUGAGACCAGGGGAGCAAGCUGCUGUGGGGAAAGGAGAGGUCUGUGGGUGGCAGCCCCGGAGUGACCCGCGCACUCUGUCACCGGGCGUGGACACUCACGCUGGGGCCCGCUGUCUACCUCAGCAGCGCCCAGAGCUGCCCUCAGAGCAACUAAGCGUGCAGCUUGGUGUGGCUGGGGCAGGUGCGUGGCCCCUGCUGGGCGGGUCACAGAGUCAGGCGGCAAAUGGCAGCAGAGAGGGACGCCCCCCGUGGGAUGUGUGUGGACUCCCACGCCAGCACACGUCACACACACACACACACACACACUCACAGUUAUGCCCUUAGCAGCCACUCUGAUCUGUUUCCAAACAGCUGUGUAUUCCCAGAGAGCAACGUCAUUCCUGAUUAUUUUAUAGCUCUUUAUUUGGAAACCAUUGCAAAUUUAUAACAAAUCGCAAACACAAAAAGAGAACAAAGAAUACCUGUAUAUCCUUUACCCAGGUUACCUGUACUAGCAUUUUACUGUGUUUGCUGUAUCAUUUAUUCCCCCCAACAUACACACACACACACCCCUUUCUUUUUUUCUGGACCAUUUUAGGAUUGCCAUCCUCCCGCACCGGGGGCCUUGGGGUUUGAAAUAAGUGAAGAUGAAGGACUGACAGGCCUGUGUGUGUGCGCCGUCCUUGGAGACAUCUUAGGAGACUGGGAAGACCUCGCUUCCUUCCCAGCUCAGGAGGUGGGGGCUGUGGGAGCUCUGGUGUGAGAACACAGGCCGGGCACUGUGGCCUUUGCUGCCUGCUUCAGGAACCUCUGUGUUGCUGGAACAUUCCAGGAGAGAACUCGCUCCUAAUGGACUGUCUGUGCCAGGGAAACCGGGGAAGCCGUCGAAGUCUGAGCCUUGCUAAACAACAUGUUUCUGCCUUGACAUUCAAGUCUCAAGAAGCGGAAAGCCGUAAUGGUGGUGACAGCGAGUUAACACCCUCUGAGCCCUUACUGUACCAGGCAGGGUGCCCAGAGUUCCCCUUGCAGGCACUCAGUUCUCACGAGCGCCCUCUCUGGUAGGUGUUGUCACUCUUCAUUCAGCCUAUGAGGAAGCCGAGGCACAGAGAAGUUAAGUAACUUGUUCAUGGUCACACAGGUGAGAAGUGGCAGAACUGGGACACAACUGCGGAGACUAGGAGGACAGAAAAGGAGCUGGAGAAAAUGAGCAUGAUGCACCGUGAGUCUUAGAGAAGGUGCCUGUCCCUGCAGUUAUCAGAGAGACGGCGUUCUCAGAAAAACCACGUUCAGACGCUGCGAGGGGCACGCUGGGCCAGGGCUGCGGCUCGAGUCACCCACUUCCUCAUGGGGAGCCCUGAGUGCAGGUUCGCCAAGCCUCGUGAGCCUGUGUUAUGUGGUACUCCAGCUCCGGCACUGAGGGGACUGCUGAACACCACCUUCCUAAAGUCAAGGAGUCUGGAGGUGACAUCCGGUUCCAGGCCAACACAUGGGCACCUCAAAAAAUUUGUGAACAGGCCGGCACUGUGGUGUAGUAGGUUAAGCAUCUGCCUGCAGUGCCGGCAUCCCAAAUGGGCACCGGAUUGAGUCCCAGCUGCUCCACUUCCGAUCCAGCUCCCUGCUAUGGCCUGGGAAGGCAGUAGAGGAUGGCCCAAGUGCUUGGGCCCCUGCACCCACGUGGGAGACCCAGAAGAAGCUCCUGGCUCCUGGCUUCGGAUCGGCGCAGCUCUGGCUGUUGUGGCCAUCUGGGGAGUGAACCAGAGGAUGGAAGACCUCUCUAUCUGUCUCUACCUCUGUCUGUAACUCUGCCUCUCAAGUAAAUAAAUAAAGCUUUUUCAUAAUAUGCAUUUUCCACUGCACCAAAACACUCUUCUAAUCCCUCUUUUCCAUGUGCUUCCCUAAGUCUCCUUGUAUUCCUGCUUUGCCGUCUUGUUACAUUGUCCACAGUCUUACGCCACACUAGGUAUAGCAUUCACAAGGGUGGGUUGGCACCCUGUGAUGGGGAUGAACUUGUGGCCCACGCCGUGGGUGACCCCGAGGCCUCAGAGGGUGAGCACGGGCCUGGCUGGGUGAGCAUGAGCUCGCACUGCUCACUGCCAAGCUCUCCUGCUGUGCGUGGUUGUGUCACACAUGACCACAAUCUGUCCUCCCCGAGGCAACAGUUCCAGUUCCUGCCCAGCAGCUAUUAAGUUAUUUUCAACAGCAAGUCAUGUGUAAGGCAAGGCCUGCACCAAAGCUCAAACAUGAGGGAGGUUUGUAUUUCCACACUUAGCAUUCUGUAGGGAAAAGACACCCAUGCCUUACAGGGAGCCUUCAGUCUUUUUUUUUUUUUUUCUUAAAGAUUUAUUUGAAAGGCAGAGCUACAGAGAGAGAGAGGGAGAGACAGAAGAGAGCAACAGAGUUAUCCAUCUGCUGGUUCACUUCCCAAAUGGCUGCAAUGGCCAAGGUUGGGCCAGGCCAAAGCCAGGAGCCAGAAGUUUCUCUGGGAUCCCACGUGGAUGCAGGGACCCAAGGACUUGGGCUGUCUUCUAUUGCUUUCCCAGGUGUAUAAGCAGGGAGCGGGAUCAGAAGUGGAGUAGCCAGGACUUGAACCAGUGCCCAUAUGGAAUGCCAGCCCCCCAGGUGGCAGCUUUACCCACUGCUACGCCACACCGCUGGUCCCCAUCAGUCUUAGCAUAGCACGUAGGGUCAGAGAAUAACCCGAGGCCAGGGGAUGUGGUAGCCCCUCGGACUGUGUGUCCCAACAAGACUUCAGCUUGGGGGUUGAUUUCUCCCCUUACCCUUUAUUGUUUUCCCCCUAUCUUGGCUGUAUAUAUAUAUCCAGCCUCCCCUGGUGUCUAGACCAUGACAAUGAGUGAAUAUUCUGUGUGUAUGUAAAUAUGUAUGUGUGUGUGUGUUUGUGUGAUUUAGAGCAUCGUUGAGGGUUUGAAAUGACUUAAAUCAGUGAACUUCCCACUGAUCAUUCACCAGUUGCAAGGCAGAGGAGAGG